AUUGAACGCUGGCGGCAGGCCUAACACAUGCAAGUCGAACGAGUGGCGGACGGGUGAGUAAUGUCUGGGAAACUGCCCGAUGGAGGGGGAUAACUCCUGGAAACGGUAGCUAAUACCGCAUACCAUCGGAUGUGCCCCGAUGGGAUUAGCUGGUAGGUGGGGUAACGGCUCACCAAGGCGACGAUCCCUAGCUGGUCUGAGAGGAUGACCAGCCACACUGGAACUGAGACACGGUCCAUAAGCCUACGGGAGGCAGCAGUGGGGAAUAUUGCACAAUGGGCGCAAGCCUGAUGCAGCCAUGCCGCGUGUAUGAAGAAGGCCUUCGGGUUGUAAAGUACUUUCAGCGAGGAGGCGUUACCCGCAGAAGAAGCACCGGCUAACUCCGUGCCAGCAGCCGCGGUAAUAC
rnacentral:rRNA from 1 species